rnacentral:tRNA from 1 species
CCUUCGAUAGCUCAGUUGAUAGAGCGGAGAACUGUAGCGGUUACAUGGUGAUCCUUAGGUCGCUGGUUCGAAUCCGGCUCGAAGGA